GAAUGACUAGAUGUAGUACUACAUAUAUAAGUUUUUGUGUGAGAUAGAUAUAUCUAACGUUUAAUUUAACAAAUUUUAUUUGGCAACAAAUCUGACCCAAAAGCAGAAAUAGAAUUUGUACUUUUGACCAGAAAAAUAUUUCACGAAGGAUUUAUUACAUAAUUAAAAGUUAAAUCUGUAUUUCUGCUUGGCUACAAUUUGU
rnacentral:lncRNA from 1 species